GAUGAAGAACGCAGCGAAAUGCGAUACGUAAUGUGAAUUGCAGAAUUCAGUGAAUCAUCGAAUCUUUGAACGCAUAUUGCGCUCUCUGGUAUUCCGGAGAGCAUGCUUGUUUGAGUAUCAGUAAACACCUCAACUUCCAUAUCUUUUUUGAAAUGGGAGUUGGACUUGAGUGAUCCCAACGCUUUUCCUCACCGAAAAGUGGCGGGUUACUUGAAAUGCAGGUGCAGCUGGACUUUUCUCUGAGCUAUAAGCUUAUCUAUUUAGUCUGCCUAAAAAACAGAUUAUUACCUUUGCUGCAGCUAACAUAAAGGAGAUUAGUUCUUGUGCUGACUGAUGCAGGAUUCACAAAGACAGGCUUCGGCCGACUUUGUAAACUCGAUCUCAAAUCAAGUAAGACUACCCGCUGAACUUAAGCAUAUCAAUAAGCGGAGGA
rnacentral:misc_RNA from 1 species